GCGGAGGGAUCAUUACACAACAAAAUAUGAAGGCCUGGCUUUCGCGGCCGGCUGAAGUAUUUUUUUCACCCAUGUCUUUUGCGCACUUGUUGUUUCCUGGGCGGGUUCGCCCGCCACCAGGACCAAACCAUAAACCUUUUUUUCUUAUGCAGUUUCCAUCAGCGUCAGUAAAAACAAUGUAAUUAUUACAACUUUCAACAACGGAUCUCUUGGUUCUGGCAUCGAUGAAGAACGCAGCGAAAUGCGAUACGUAGUGUGAAUUGCAGAAUUCAGUGAAUCAUCGAAUCUUUGAACGCACAUUGCGCCCUUUGGUAUUCCAAAGGGCAUGCCUGUUCGAGCGUCAUUUGUACCUUCAAGCUUUGCUUGGUGUUGGGCGUUUUUUUGUCUCCCUCUUUCUGGGAGACUCGCCUUAAAACGAUUGGCAGCCGGCCUACUGGUUUCGGAGCGCAGCACAUUUUUUGCGCUUUGUAUCAGGAGAAAAGGACGGUACUCCAUCAAGACUCUACAUUUUUCACUUUUGACCUCGGAUCAGGUAGGGAUACCCGCUGAACUUAAGCAUAUCAAUA
rnacentral:rRNA from 1 species